UCGCCACUGCACCCUAAUUGCU
rnacentral:misc_RNA from 1 species